GCUCUGGUGGUCUAGUGGUUAGAGCGUCCGCCUCGGAUGCGGGAGGUCGUGGGUUCAAACCCCGGUCGAGUCACACCAGAAACU